UUUUCAGUAAAUGAUACAGAUAUACAUAAUUACAUAUAUAGCAGAGAUUUGGAAGCUGCCAAAAAAAAAAAAAAAAAUGUUUUUUAAAAUUUUGGGUUGGGUUCGGGUUGAGCCCAAGACCAACCCGAAUAUGUCUGGGCUAGGGUCGGGUUGGGCUGAGUUGGUCUACCCAAAAUUUAUAGGUAUUUGUAGGUCAAAUUAUUUCAGCCUCCCCAAUCGCCUCAUCUCUAUGCUCAGUCUCAACUCUGAACUUUCCCUGCAUUCGGAAAAAGAGUGAGUCUCGUUCAGAGGGAUGGGAUGUUUCUAAGGGUGGUUGGAGGCGAUUGGGGAGGCUGAAAUGAUUUGCCCUAAAAAUAUAUAUAUAUUUUUUCUGGUGGCCCUGCACUCGGAAAAAGAACGAGGCUCGUUCAGAGGGAUGGGAUGUUUCUAAGGGUGGUUGCCCCUCUCUGUAAACGAUGAUCUCCUACAAAAUGAGGGAUGGGAGAUCAUCUAGAGCCAAUGAUUUCAUUUCCUACAGAAUCAACAGCCCUUUGUGUAUGUAUACUUCUGAUUCUUGUAGAUUUUGUAGUUUCCAUCAUCAUUAUAAGAGGCUGUGAUGAUAUAUGUUCUGAGUGGAUCAUACUGGCAUUGAGAAUCGGAUCCGUUUAUUGGCGGGGCAAACCAGAGGGUCUGUGGGAGAGAGAUUUGGUUCUUCUCUCACAGGCAACUAUUGUUGCAGCCAGGGCGGUGGGUUAUACUCUUGCCCUCAUCAAAAGCAGAUCUGAGCCUCUCAAGUGUAUUUUAUUGAAAAUUUUCAAAAAAAAAAAAAAACUCUGAACUUGCCCCCCCUCUCUCUCUCUCUGCAACUGUAAACUACAAAAUCUACAAGAAUCAGAAGUUCAAAACCCAUAUAUUUCAGUAUAUCUAUCUGUCUGCAAGAAUCAAAAGUUCAAAACCUAUUAUCUAGAUGAAAACCCAUAUCGGCAUAUCAUUUCAGAUUGUUCCAAAAAUCAAAACCCAUAUCUUUCAACCCAUAUCGGCAUAUCAUUUCAGAUUGUUCCAGUUCGGGUUCGCUGUUCACAAGCUUCAUGUAUGUAUGUGUCUCUCAAGCUCUCUCUCUGCAACUGCUAACUUGUAUGUAUGGGUUUUGUUUUUAAUUUUUUUUUUCUAAAUCAACUAAUCAAGGUCUGUAAUUCUUGUUUUGCAAACUAAAUCUUAUUUGGUGAAAUUUUUUAUGAUUUUUUUUAUAUAAAUUUUUUAUUUUUACAAUAUAAAGAAAUUUGCAUUGCAUUUUGAGGUAAUCACCGUAAUCUACAUUUUAUUUCAGCAAAACAAAUAUAUAUAUUUUUAUUUCUAUAACUUCUAUUUCUUUUUUUUAUUUUUUAUUUUUUGGUCAAUUAUGUCUACAAGAAAAUUUGCAUCUGGGCAUGAAAAAAAAAAAAAAAAAAUCUUUGAAGAUUAGGAGAUUGAAUUAGGAGAUUGAAUCUGAAACAAUUUUUAUUUGAAAAUGGAAAUCUUUUCAGAACUAAAAAGAAAAAAUCAUAACAAGAACUUUGACAAGCAAAAGUAGUUAAUAUAGGGUAAAGCUCUAAAGUUACUUCUUGAAAAUUAAAAUGCUUACAAAAAGCAUGCUUUUGAGUGAAUUCCGUAGUGUUGGAAGGGGCUUGCCAUGAACUAACUCACACGGAAGAUUUAGGGUACUGAGUGGUGAAUUGGAGGCGAUUGGGGAGGCUGAAAUGAUUUGCCCUAAAAUAUGUAUAUUUUUUCGAAAAAGAAUGAGGCUCGUUCAGAGGGAUGGGAUGUUUCUAAGUGUGGUUGCCCCUCUCUGUAAAUGAUCUCCUACAAAAUAAGGGAUGGGAGAUCAUCUAGAGCCAAUGAUUUCAUUUCCUACAGAAUCAACAGCCCUUUGUGUAUGUAUACUUCUGAUUCUUGUAGAUUUUGUAGUCUCCAUCAUCAUCAUCAAUCAUCACUAUAAGAGGCUGUGAUGAUAUAUGUCUGAGUGGAUCAUACUGGCAUUGAGAAUGAUCCGUUUGUUGGCGGGGCAAACCAGAGGGUCUGUGGGAGAGAGAUUUGGUUCUUCUCUCACAGGCAACUGUUGUUGCAGCCAGGGCGGUGGGAUAUACUCUUGCCCUGAUCAAAAGCAGAUCUGAGCCUCAUUUGUAGUCAAGUGUAUUUUAUUGAAAAAUUUCAAAAAAAAAAAAAAAACUCUGAACUUGCCCCCCCUCUCUCUGCAACUGCAAACUAGAAAAUCUACAAGAAUCAGAAGUUCAAAACCUAUAUAUUUUAGUAUAUCUGUCAGUCAAAUUAGGGUAAGUGAGGCGGCUGAGAGCAGAUCUGAAAUGGGGGAUGAUGUUUUCUGAAAAUAUAUGGGAUUGGUGGGCAAGGAAGCAUUAUAUACAUAUAUGUUGUAAUUAUUUGCUUCCCUACUCCACCCAUUCCUAUGGUUUUCGGUGUUAUCUCUUUUCUUAUUCAGCUUCAUCAUCUCUUUUACACACUCAAACACACACGUAUAUGUGUAUAUUGUUUAUGCGUGUUUGCGUAUCGACGCCGGAAAGUUGUGUGGGAGGUCAAUCGAGUUCGUCGAAGAGGAAGUGUUGCAAGAGAAGAAAAGAUCAAGCAGCGAGUUUCAUCUCGUUUGUCUGAUCGAUCGUUGGACAAGGUCCAGAAGUCUGCCCCUUCGGAUCGCUCCCAUAACAAUCCCACUUUUCAUGGUCCUCUCUCUGUCUCUAUCUCUCUGCAUACUCAUAUAUAUAAUAAUGAUUACGAGUUUUGAUUUUUUUUUUUUUUUUUUUUUGAGACUGCAAUUUGAAAUUGAAUUUUGAAUUUGAACUGUGGUUUAUGGAGUUUAUGGUUUGGAUUGUGAGAGAAAGAUGGGAAUUUGGACUAAGCUAAGCUAGCUGCAUUGUGUGAAGCUGGUACUCUCUUAACAUAAAGAUGUACAGCUUUGGAUUUGGGAGGGAUUCUUAUAAGAACUAUUACUUUUUGGUUUCAACAUUCAAAUCAUUACAUGAUCAUUGACCUUGAAAUUUUUUGUGAAUUGCCUGACAAUUUGGUGGUCCUUUCUUAUUCAUAAUUCAUGAAAUUAGGAUGUUCAGGGUAAAGUUUGUAGAGUAGAGUAUUUCAAAUCUUUUCCAUGAUUUAAUUUUGGUUCUACAUUUUCCUGGUAGAUGAGCUGAUGGUGUCUUUUUUAAAUAGAUAUGGAUGCAGUUCUUUAGUUGAUUUGUUAGCUAUCAAAGACAAAUAAGUUGAUCACAUCUCAAAUUGGAGGCUUUGGUGAGUCCUCUCAAGGCUUUUGGUGAGCCAAGGACUGAAAACUGUACUUUGUGGAGAUCACCAUAUGAGUCCCAAUUCCCUGUUCAUAGCCGUGGGAGAUGCCUCUUAUUUUGUACAAUUGGAUCUGGGUUCAAAACUUGGUCUGGUUAGUAGAAAACAACAUGAGUGCCUUGUUUGAAGAUUGAUAGUGUUCAAGAUCUUGUAGUUUGGAGAAGGGAUGGGGAAUUGUAAUAUAUAUAUAUAUAUAUAUAUAUAUAUGUAGUUUACGGGACUGGAGGCCUUUAGAUAGAGUGGAAUGGCGAAAUAUAAUUUAUUUAGCUGAUCCCAAGUAGUUUGAAAAGGCUUCAAUGAAUUGAGUAAAAAGAAUGGGGAGUCUAGUUUGAUAAAUUGGAUGUCUAGGCAAUGAUAUAAGGCUAUCUAAUUUGGCAUUAGACAUGGUAAAAGUAGCUUCCAAAUAUAUGGGAGUUUAAUGGGAUGAUGUUACGUAUAGAAAACUAUAGCUGGUUGAUAAAUUAGUGAUGCAUUACUACAGGAUAUCCUAUGUUGCAAAUAGCAUUCUCUAAUUUUUCUAUAGUUUUUAAUUGCGCUUAUUGGGUCUGCAAAGAGCUUAGGGGCAGUAAACACUAGAAGGUGGAUUUUACAUGUAAAUUGGUGGUUAGGGAAACUGCACUCUAAAUUAUUAGCUUAGUUAUACAGAGAUAGCUACCAUGCAGGUAUUCACAGUGAGGAUGUUACAUAACAUUAGGGCGGUGAUUGAUUGCUGCAUUUGGUGCCUUGGAAAUAUGGUUUUGGUAAACUUCUUAAGGAUGCUACAAAGACAUCCUUUUGUGGCCUGAUUUCAAGUUCUUAAGAAGUUAAAAGUCAUGUAAAGUUGAGAUAUGUUGGAUCAAGAAUACAGAAUUUUAGUUUUUUCCCUGUUCCAUAGAAAACAAGCUUCAUGUGUGUAUUUUCCUUGAGUACAUCUGUUAUGUACAAUCCUUCCCAGUUCAUACCACCCCAGUGUUGUUAAGGGUGCGCCUGUUGUGUGCCCAGGUGUGCCUUUGACAACAUUUGCGCCUUUAAUAUGGAAUAUGAAUAUGUUUUAAUAGUAAUUUAAUUUUUCAAUAGUGUGCCUUGCCUUGCGCCUAGGCUCCAAAGGACCUCUAGCGCCUUAGUGCGCCUUGGGCCCUUGAUAACAGUGUACCACCUAGAUGCUAUUUCUGGCUAAUGAACAAACAGAAAUGUCAAGAUCAUGGCUAGGUAGAGAAAAAAAAAAUUCUAAAGGCUUCCUUUACAAUUUUUUUAUUGCUGUACUUUUCUAAUUCUGGUUUCUGUUAAAUAUUGUAUCAUUUUUUCAACAUGUGUCAAAUUGAAAUAUCCUGAAGAUAGUAAUCUGCCACUCUUGUAGCUGCAAAUGCUGCUUUCCUGAUUUCUGUCACAAUGUGAUAAUACUGACAGGAAGUAUUGAGGAGGCAUGGUUUGAUUCUGCUGGCAUACUUGACUCUGACUGUGAUGAAGAUUUUGAAAGUGUCCAGGAUGGUAAAAAUAUGGAAAAUUUAGUUUUAAUCGUAUAUUUUAAUUUCAUGUUUCUUUCGACCUUCUGAUUGACCAGUUAUAAUAGGCUUUUAUCCCCACUUGAGAGGUGCUAAUGCUGUUUGCAGCAUCAUAGUGGAUGUAUGUGUAGUUACUAGCUACAUCUGUCCUUGUGCGGGUUAUGUUUUUGUUGAGUAACAGAGUGUUGCGAAUUUUGUUGCAUAUGCUUAAUUAUUGCUACUUAUGACUUCCUUUUGGUUGAGCAACGAGCAAGUUGAAGUGACAUUAGGGAGAAAACUACUUCGAGCUUGAUGUGGAUAUGCACCGAUUUAGUUACAUCUCUAGGAAAGGGUUUGAUGCAUUCCUGGAUAGACUAAAGCACUACAUUUUGGAUGUUGGCCUUACAAUUCAGGCAAGUUCUUCCAGUACCCUCCAAGUUUGAGUGGCAACCCAAUAUUAAACUAUCCCAUUCUUCAUUAUAAUUUUUUCCUUAUUUUUGCUUUUUUAUAUUGCAUGCUAUUAUUAAUAUUACCUUUCGUUUCUGUUAUAAACCAGGGGAACAAAGCCGAUGAGUUGCCAGAGCAGAUAUUAUGUUGUAUUAGGUUAAAUAGAAUUGACUACAUGAAUUAUCAGAAACUGGGUUACAGUCAACAGUCCAUUUAAAUUGUGCACAUACACUGUAAGGCUUAAAAUUAAUUUAUUAAAUAAAAGUAUAUUUUUUCUAUUGAAAACUUCGUAGUGCUCCUUUUUUCUA